UACGGAGGGUUCAAGCGUUUUCCGGAUUUAUUGGGUUUAAAGAGUGCGUAGGUGGUUUAUUAAGUCAGUGGUGAAAUCCUGCAGCUCAACUGUAGAACUGCCAUUGAUACUGGUAAACUUGAGUUUGGUUUAGGUAAGCGGAAUUUAUGAUGUAGCGGUGAAAUGCAUAGAUAUCAUAAGGAACACCAAUAGCGAAGGCAGCUUACUGGACCACAACUGACACUGAGGCACGAAAGCGUGGGUAGCGAACAGG
rnacentral:rRNA from 1 species